rnacentral:rRNA from 1 species
CACGUAGGGGGCGAGCGUUGUCCGGAAUCAUUGGGCGUAAAGAGCUCGUAGUCGGCUCGGUAAGUCGGGUGUGAAACCCCCCGGCUCAACCUGGGGACGCCACCCGAUACUGCUGUGGCUAGAGUCCAGUAGGGGAGUGUGGAAUUCCCGGUGUAGCGGUGAAAUGCGCAGAUAUCGGGAGGAACACCAGCGGCGAAGGCGGCACUCUGGGCUGGAACUGACGCUGAGGAGCGAAAGCGUGGGGAGCGAACAGG